UACGUAGGCAGCAAGCGUUGUUCGGAGUUACUGGGCGUAAAGGGUGCGUAGGCGGUUGUUUAAGUUUGGUGUGAAAUCUCCCGGCUCAACUGGGAGGGUGCGCCGAAUACUGAAUGACUAGAGUGCGGGAGAGGAGAGUGGAAUUCCUGGUGUAAGCGGUGAAAUGCGUAGAUAAUCAGGAGGAACACCGGUGGUGUAGACGGCUCUCUGGACCGUAACUGACGCUGAGGCACGAAAGCGUGGGUAGCAAACAGG
rnacentral:rRNA from 1 species